CACCCACCCCACACCCAUCCCGUCCCCACGACGCCUCGCGUUUGCCAAGACCCUCCUGCCCCGGUGCCCGCUCCCCGCCGCCCGAGAGCUCCCGGUGCCUCCGACGUCGGUAUCCGCCGCCCGGCGCCCGUCCUCCCCGAGCCUUCUCGCGGGUGUCCCCGGGAGCCCCUCGCCGGCCCUGGGAGCCUGCGGAGCGCGUCGGCCCCUGCGGACCCUCCGGCGAAGCCUGGCACCGGGAAGCGGCGAAGUCGGGGGCUCCUGCGGGACCCGGGAGAGAGGUGCCGCCUCCGCGCCGCGCCAGCUCGGGCCGGGGCGCCCGCUGCGGGGUACGUUGCUCGCUGCUCUCGGCCCGGGGCACCGACCUAGCCGGCAGUCGGGUCUGGGAGACGAUCAGAACGAGGCAAGGACCCUGCGACUCCAGGCGCCGGCUGCAAAGUGCGUUCCUGCGGCUUCCGCUCACCUGAGAUCGCUGCUGGGGAUCCCCAGACUCCCGAAACGUGAGAUUCCAAGGGCAGGGAAUUGAUCUAGGAAGCUUUCCCCACGGAACUCUCCGGGGAGAGCAGCUUGUCCUUGGGAUUCCUGAACAGGGAUGGCCUCCAGCUGAUGCCAAACAGAGAAAUCUGAGCCAUGAAUUUGUACCUAGUGUUAUAUUUCACUCCCUUAGAUACCCUGCCAGGGCCGGGAGAGGCUGCGCACAGGAGAUGCUGCUGAGUGAGGGGUAUGCAGAGCUGGGGUACAGGCUCUGAAAAACCUGCGGGCACCUUCCAUGGAUCUGUGACAAGUGUGCAGCUCUCCGGGCAGCCCUGGACUAGAGUGAGUAACCCCAGCAUGGAAAGGGCAGAAAGGCCAGGAGCCUGCCUGCCGUCACCUCUCCCUUUACCGCUCUCUUCUGCGCCUUCACACGGCUCCAGAGGGUACCCUCCCCCUGGAGUCCGUGCAUCCUCUAGCCCUUUCCUCCCUGUAGAUGGCAACAGUUGGUGUUCUUUGUCUAGGUCAUCAUUUACUUUUAAUAAUAAAAGCUAUUAUUUGCUUGGUGAAAAGAAGUCCGGCCAACCCAGAAGCACACUGUGUAGAAAGGGCAAGUUACAGGAGUUACUACAUGCCCUGCCCCCCAGACUCCUGUCAUGACUCCAGUCCAGUAUCAGUCCUCUUUUUACUGAUGAAUAAACUGAGUUACAGAUUUAUUAAGCGUUUGGUC
rnacentral:lncRNA from 12 species